GUGAGGAAUAUUGGUCAAUGGGCGAGAGCCUGAACCAGCCAAGUAGCGUGCAGGACGACGGCCCUAUGGGUUGUAAACUGCUUUUGAAGGGGAAUAAAGUGAGCGACGUGUCGUUCAUUGCAAGUACCCUUGGAAUAAGGACCGGCUAAUUCCGUGCCAGCAGCCGCGGUAAUACGGAAGGUCCGGGCGUUAUCCGGAUUUAUUGGGUUUAAAGGGAGCGUAGGCCGCUCUUUAAGCGUGUUGUGAAAUGCAGGUGCCCAACAUCUGCACUGCAGCGCGAACUGGAGAGCUUGAGGGCGCACGACGCAGGCGGAAUUUGUGGUGUAGCGGUGAAAUGCAUAGAUAUCACGAAGAACCCCGAUUGCGAAGGCAGCUUGCGGGAGCGCACCUGACGCUGAAGCUCGAAAGUGCAGGUAUCAAACAGGAUUAGAAACCCCGGUAGUCC
rnacentral:rRNA from 1 species